AUUCAGUAGCCUACCAGUGAGUCGUUUGAAUGAUUCAAACGUGGUGCUCCAAAUGCACGUUGGACACUUCGGUUGUGGCUGUGUUUGGAAUAAUUUUCGCAACUUUAACUACAACAAAUAAACCGAAGGAUGCAAUUGACUGUAUGGCUGACAAUAUAUAUGAGAUCAACUUCUGGAACAUCUGGUGCUAUUUGGAAACAUCAUGAGGGAUUCAUUGGUUUUCCAAUGCAGUUGUCAUGCAGUUGACUUCAAGAAGGAUCAAGACAGGCCUACAGAUGGAUUGGAGGCUUUUCUUGACCUGCUUUGACAGACAGAUCUCAUCUUGUCGUCGCCCUCAGCUCUGUCCUGCUGACCCAAUGGCUCUUUCUUCUCGCCUCCAGGGUGAACGUGGACUUUUAAAUGUGCCAUAUCCUUGCCAGCAGCCAAAGUUAGUCUCAUAGACAUGAUGUCUUUGAGGGCAUGUGACCUGAAAUCACCUCCCCUGUCAU
rnacentral:lncRNA from 1 species